GUACACUCCUGCGGGAGGCAGCAGUGGGGAAUAUUGGACAAUGGGCGCAAGCCUGAUCCAGCCAUGCCGCGUGAGUGAUGAAGGCCCUAGGGUUGUAAAGCUCUUUCACCGGUGAAGAUGAUGACGGUAACCGGAGAAGAAGCCCCGGCUAACUUCGUGCCAGCAGCCGCGGUAAUACGAAGGGGGCUAGCGUUGUUCGGAUUUACUGGGCGUAAAGCGCACGUAGGCGGACUAUUAAGUCAGGGGUGAAAUCCCGGGGCUCAACCCCGGAACUGCCUUUGAUACUGGUAGUCUUGAGUUCGAGAGAGGUGAGUGGAAUUCCGAGCGUAGAGGUGAAAUUCGUAGAUAUUCGGAGGAACACCAGUGGCGAAGGCGGCUCACUGGCUCGAUACUGACGCUGAGGUGCGAAAGCGUGGGGAGCAAACAGGAUUAGAAACCCGUGUAGUCCCA
rnacentral:rRNA from 1 species